UUCUGUGUAUGAUGAGAAAACAUUGAAUACAGUUAUCCCUGGCUGAUUUGUUUCGUUGUGAUGACAUCUUGUUAUCUGACACAGAC